rfam:Camelus ferus unplaced genomic scaffold scaffold51476, whole genome shotgun sequence.
GGAGGAAUAGUUCAGUGGUAGAGUGCAUGCCCAGCAUGUACAAGGUCCUGGGUUCAAUCCCUAGUACCUCCA